GAAGGGGUGGGCCCUGUGUCUACCCCUCCCUGGGCUCAUUUAAGGGCUAGCCUCCAAAGGUAGAAUUUUUCUUGCGUGAAGGUUGCUUUCUCAGGAAGGAGUGUUCUGUAGCCAGAGAGCCUAUCACAAGUUAGUUAGCAGCUGCAUUGAGCUCUUUGGGGAAGUGGAGAAUGGACCUGGACUGUUGGAAGAACGGAACAGUGGGCUACACUCUUAACAAAUGUGAUUCAUGCAUAUGCUGUCCUCUUUUUGAAUAGAUCCCAUGAGAUUCUGCACUGGAGACAGAUAUUACAACAGUAUUAUGCUUCUAUGGCAGUUCUUUAUCAUUUGUGGUUCUGAUUGAUUGUGUUGUUCUUAUAUACUUCAGUCUGAGACAGCUGCAGUAAAGAGUUUCAGGUGGCUGACUGACUGUGAGGAAGGGCAUUUCACGUGCAAAAUGGUUCUCUUUGUGAUGAUGUGAAUGGCCAUUUAAGCUUUACAAAUUAUUACGUGUAGUGUGCAUUAAAAUAGACUGG
rnacentral:lncRNA from 1 species